GUUAACCUCUUCCCUCUAUCCACUUAUUCCUUGAUUAUCUACACUUCUCCACAUCACACAGCCAAACUUGUGGAAAAGGGGGGCAACACAACUUUAUCUCCUUGCAGACCUCCCUAAAAAAAAAUCUCACUGCGGGCCGCCACCACAAAUCCUCAAUCGAUCUCACCUGAUCCACUGCCGCCGCCACAAAUCCUCCAUCGUUCUCACCUGAUUUCCCUGCACCGCCGUUGGCUUGGCGCACAUCUAGGUUUCCCCACUUGAUCCUUGGGUAUGACGGUUCCCUCCCCCGGCAUGUAGACCACGGCUGGACAAGAAAUUGUCACGGUGCUGCUGGCCAUGUCCAUCGCCGGCACCAUCGCGCUCUCCCUGGAAGCCCCGCUCCCCGCGCUCCAUUUUGAUAGUCACCGCAGGGAACGACUACAAGAGAAAGACGCACAAGGUGUCCGAGAUGCGCCGGGGAUGGGGAAGGUCAUGCGUCGCUGCGCGGGAGGCAGCAUCUACUCCGCUAGAAGAAUGCUAAGCAAAGUAAGUGGCUCUGCAAGAUGGUAUAUGCUUCUUCAGUUUACGCACAUUUUUUCCUUCCUUUUUCAGCUAAUCAUAGUUCAGUUAUGAGAAGUCAAUAAGAAUUCAGUACUGCCAGAACUGUCCACGGUCAUGUAGUUUGGUUGGUGUCAUGUUCGGAAUGCCUGGUUGGUAUUACUUUGGCUGAACCUGGAUGGUGCAAAGUCAGGCUUGCUUCUCUCAGUUUCCUAUCUAGAUCUCCAUGUGCUGGUUGUUACUAGUUGUCUUGAUUAAUUUAGAUAAAUACCACUGUGUUUACCUCUUGUUGUUUGAUAGGAAUUUGGAUCAGAUGUCAAUAGCGCAGGGGCAGGGGGGCUACUCGAUGGGCCAAAAAAGCCGAGGUUUGGUUGCAGUUCCCAGAUGCACAACAGUGGUGCGGCGACUCCCAUAUGCACAACGGUGGCGCGAUGACUGCGAGAUGUACAGAAGUGGUAGUGAUGACAUUACGCGGUGACUGUGGACUGUGACGUCAAAGGACAAAACAUGGUUCAGAUUCAUAAGAUAUUUUGACGAUGCAUGGCUUAGACGUUGAUUGCAUGGUCCAGAAUGGUGCUGCAUGAUAGUCUUAUCAUCUGAUUGCAAGGUCGAGAAUGGUGUUGUUGCUGGAUAGUUUUAUCAUCUGAUUGCAAGGUCGAGAAUGGUGUUGCUGCUAUAUAGUCUUAUCAUCUGAUUGCAAGGUCGAGAAUGGUGUUGCUGUUGGAUAAUCUUAUGUUAUGUUUUAGGAUAUCAUUUCCAGUGUCAAUGUUUCAAAACUUCUAAUUUCGAAUAGUUGAGAAAAUGAUUGAAAGGUCCAGAAUUGGGCUAGUAUUGUAAUCUUUGGAUCAUGUUCUUUGUAAUGCAACAGAGGAAAUUAAAUAUAUUAGACCUUUCUCAUA